rnacentral:tRNA from 1 species
UGGUAUAGCACAACUGGCAGUGCAGCUGAUUUGUAAUCAGCAGGUUGCAGGUUCGAUUCCUGUUACCA